GAAACAAAAUACUUACGACCAAUGAGGAUGAUGCAGCUGUCUACCAAUCAUCAUUUGCACAACUUGAUAAGGAGCUCAGAGGGAUUGAAAGGAAGAGGAAAAUCAUAAGAUGGACAGAAACAAGCGAAGAGUUCCUCAACACGAUGCGGGAGGUAGACUGGAACACCCGGUCCAGUCUACUCUCUAAGAUGCACAGCCUUGCCUAUGAACGGUCGUUCCUGGCAUCUCUGAAGAGGAAAUACCCAGAUGGUCAAAAGAUCGCCGCAAAAGUGGCCAAGCAGUUGAAGGCGACUAACUCCAAACUGCAGAAGACGAUCGACACCUACAAUGCAGUAGAGUGGGAACCAACUGUACCAACUCUCCCAAACUCUGUGCAGUUUAGAGAGGCAUCCGAUUCUACUUGGCAGCAUUAUUCGUGCC